rnacentral:lncRNA from 1 species
AAUCACAGACAUGAAAACCACAUGAUCUGCAGCCAAUAGAACUUUCAUUAAACCUCACGUUUUGGUGAGUAAAUGGAAGCAGAUCUGAACUAGCAAUAGAACUGUCUUUUGAAAAUUAUUUUGACUUUACCUUGUGUUAUCUUGGAAGAGAGAGAUUGAAUUCCUUGCAGGGCUGAGAGAACUGAUGUAACAAGUGUAUGGACAUGAGGCAACGUCGAAAGGAAAUAUAACUUGGAGAAAACAAAGGAAGAAUGUUACCGCAAGUAGCAGGAGUGAGAGCUCCAUCACCAAUGACCAUACAAGUUCCAAGUAAAACAACAAAAGUAAGAACAUUUUGAGCUGUGGAACUUUUCUCCAGGAACUUCUUAGUUUUUGAACGCCUAGAACUUCCACUCUCUUGGCUGUAAUAAGCCAUGCUCUCAUCAGAUUCCAUCCUAACGUUGUGGAUACUAAGUUUGCUUUGGAAAUUGAUAUGGCGACAGAGAUAUGAAUAGAGAGCAAAAGUACCGCCUUCUCCAUGAUCAUUAGCAUGGAGGACGAUGAAGACAUAUUUGACUAACACAAGCAACGUUAGAGUCCAAAAGAUUAGGCUGAAUGUCCCAAGUAAAUCAUCUUCAGUGAGAUUUGUCAAGCGAGUAGAGGAAAAUACAUUGACAGGAGAAGUGGCAAGGUCCCCAUAUACAACUCCAAGAGAUUGGUAAGCCAACAACAAGGUCUGCAUGGGUGGAUAUUCCUGAGAAAAAUACUCAAAAUCUCAAUAUCCUAUGAAGUGACUUAGAAGUUUCAAGGCAGUAACAAAAAAAAGUGUGAAGUUAUCAGAUUUUAUCGAAACUGGUAGUAGCACUAGCACACAUCGAGGGUAAAAUGAGAACAGGUUGCUUGUGAUGAUUUCAUCAUGUCCUAUGUCAACCUCCAGAUGCACCGGUCUGCAGGAACCAUGAUGACUUAAGGUGUUCAAAAGGAAGAGGUAGUUAUAACUUAAUCACAUGAAGGAAGUUAUCCCGAAAGACCUACACUCUCUUGAAAUCUAUGCAAACCUAGCAAAAGAUCGGGCACAAUGAAAGAAAAGGAUCUAUGUGGAUGAUACCAGUUAGUUGGUUUAAGCUUUAAUUAUGCUAAUAUGUUUACUUUCGAUCCCAAUGUUUGUUGGGAGUUUUUAGGUCUUGUUUGAGAUUUCAUGCGUGGGAAAUGCAGACAGCUUCUAGUGCUACAAAAACUAAUUCUUUAUUAUAUUUGAACUUAGACAAAGCUUAAUUGAGUGACAUGGACAAUGAGAAUUCAUAUAGCCGAGGAUUCACAUAGACGGUCUUAAAUAGAGGGACAGUGGAUAUUUCUUGGAAUAUUGAAGAUGAGAAAAAGUAAAGCUUACCUUAGCUUUGGUUAAGGGAGACUGGUAUGUCUGCAUAACUGUCAUGUAUGUUUCCAUAGCAGGUACUGGUUCUGGAACAACUCUCCUGCUGUUGUUACAAAGGUCAAUACGGUUACUAUCUUCAAGAUUGCUUCUACUUUCAAUAUCAUAGUUCUUUAUGCUGGAAUUGUUGCUUUUAACAUCUUCCAUGUUUUAAAUGCAGGACACUUCCAAUAUUCUAGUUAAGAAGUUGCCGUACAUUGUGUCAUGCUUAUAUAGCUUCAAAAAAGCCUCAAGGACUAUCGAUUUGCAAACAGGGAUAUCGAUUUGGUUGAUCCUAAGAAUAAAACAAAAGAUAUAAGUUAGUGCUGCAAAUUCUAAAAGCCACAAGUUGCUGGAGAGGGAGCAGGUAAAGGAACACAUCAUCAUAUAUAUAUUUUAGCAGUAAUUCCACCAAUUUGCAUACAAAUUUAUUUCAUCAUCCUGUUGGAGCACUUAUCGAUUCGCAAACAGGGAUAUGAAGAUAAAUUAUUGGUACAUUUUCUUGUUGACAUAUUAUAUUUUAUACCAAGGAGUGACUACACACUCUCACAAGUGACAUAUAACCAGAAAUUUUUAAAAAUCUGCCACUGUUGCUUUGUUGGAUGAACCUUAUCUAGUCUAGUCUAGUCUAGUUAAAUAAAUCAAGCUUAAAUUUUUGCAGUAAGUUGAUGACAAGUGAAAACUAGUAAAUCCUCUGAUUAAAAAGGUAAGCUUGAUUAAUGAACAAAAGCUCAUAUGCAAUUUUGCUGGCUUAUGAUUCUUUUGAUUAUGAAUUUUUUGUUUUAUUAUAGGUAUAUAUAUCAGUGUUGACACAUCUUGACCUAAGCUGGUCCAAUGUAAUGGUUAAGGUGUUGCACAACUUUCUUAAACUCGUGUGUUCAGUCCUAGCUAGCGACAUCAUUAUAUUUGCCUUUUUUUUACAUCUUUAAUAAAAA